GGUGCGCGGUGGUCCCCACCCCAAGCUUCCCAGGCCCUCCUGGCGGCAGGUGAGGGUAGUGGCCUGGGCACACGCCGCCCAUUUCCCCCAGCCUAGCGCGCUCAGCCCUGCUUCCAGAUCCUAAAGGAGCCUGCUCACCUGUCUGGACUCCCGUGGGACCGCACUCAGAUGCUACUGAAACCCGGUAAUGGCAGCAACCACAGGUUAAUGGCAGCAACCUUGGAGCAAUAUACUCACAUGGAAAGAGCUGCAAGGUACUGCAGAUUCUGUUUCAAGUCAGCUCAGACACGAGCCAUUCCUCUCCCUGGUUUGAAAGCUUGCAACUCCGAAGAUCCAAAUCCAAUUCUUUGCCUCCUAACAUCAAUCAUUAGAGGGUUUUAUCCUUCUGGAAACUUGUAUAUAGAGACCUAUAGAGAAAGGUAA